UACGGAGGAUCCAAGCGUUAUCCGGAUUUAUUGGGUUUAAAGGGUGCGUAGGUGGCUUUUUAAGUCAGGGGUGAAAGACGGUAGCUUAACUAUCGCAGUGCCUUUGAUACUGAAGAGCUUGAAUGAACUAGAGGUAGGCGGAAUGUGACAAGUAGCGGUGAAAUGCAUAGAUAUGUCACAGAGCACCAAUUGCGAAGGCAGCUUACUAUGGUUUUAUUGACACUGAGGCACGAAAGCGUGGGGAUCAAACAGG
rnacentral:rRNA from 1 species